AAUUUUUUGUAACAUUUUGAGAAUAAAACUUUAUAUCUAAUUAUUAUUUUUUCGAUUAUCAGGUUUCUUUAACGAUUACAUCAGAACAUCACCCAUCAAACGAACGUCGCGAUCCGUCAACAAGAAAGACUUUCCGCCGUCGAAAAUGCGGAGAUUGGCAUCAAAGCAAGACUUAAUUCAUUCGUUGGUGGAAAAGUAUUGCCUGAAAGACACUUUUGUGGUUUUGCAGCCUCUUCCAUCUAAAGUGGUGGAGAGUGCUCUGGCCGGAAACGUCAAAGUAGCCAAUCCUGUCCUGGUUAAUGAAAAAGAAGUUCCGGUGGAAGCAGCCACUCACUCUCUUCCCACUUCUAGCAAAGAGAUCGACUCAGAAGAGAUGAACGAGGCCAAUAAAGAAAACAAUGAGAAUCAUUCGCAACCGGAACAGGAAGUGGCUGUCAGAUAAAUGGGAGGAAAAAACAACACGUAUUAUAUUUUAGUUUUCAUUGGAGACACCGAACUUUAAUAAUUGUAAGUGUAUCCAUUGUUUCUCGUAAGUCAAUUUUGUUUCUCUUUUUUUACAUAUAUAUUAUAUAUGUGUUAUUGCCAGAAUAAGGAUGCCAUUCGAGCAUCGAAAUAACAUCGUUGGCCUGUCCUUUCUCGUACAUUAACAUGUUAAUUUGUUGAUUUCACUUAAAAUGGUAAAUGAAAUUUUUGAUUAUUUCCAAAAUGUAUUGGUAAAUGAAAUUAAUUUUUGUUAUGUCUAACUUUGUUCUACUUUAUCUUCAUUGUAUAAAAACAACUUUUCCUUAUUAAAGCCCAUCAGUAUGUUAAGAUUCAUAAGUUGUUUGGUCGUGUAAGUUUUACAAAUAAUAAUCCUGAAUGUGGGAAGAAAAUAAGCUUUAAACUGCUUCAAUGUUUCUGUAUUUGUCAUUCUUAAUAAAUCCAUAUUAUAUUAUGUA